UACGUAGGGACCAAGCGUUGUUCGGAUUUACUGGGCGUAAAGAGCGUGUAGGCGGCCCGGUAAGUCCGCUGUGAAAGUCGGGGGCUCAACCCUCGAAUGCCGGUGGAUACUGUCGGGCUAGAGUGCGGAAGAGGCGAGUGGAAUUCCUGGUGUAGCGGUGAAAUGCGCAGAUAUCAGGAGGAACACCAAUUGCGAAGGCAGCUCGCUGGGACGUAACUGACGCUGAGACGCGAAAGCGUGGGGAGCAAACAGG
rnacentral:rRNA from 1 species